rnacentral:tRNA from 1 species
GGUGGUACAGCUCAGUGGUAGAGUGUGUGCUUAGCAUGCAAGAGGUCCCAGGUUCAAUCCCAGGUACCUCCA